rnacentral:sRNA from 1 species
UAUCAGUUUACAGGUGAUUGACAUGCUCAAUAAAUUAAUCCUAGACAACAAGUUCAUUAACCAAAUCUAAGUGCCACCGCAAAAGAGACUCUCAAGUUAACCUAGUCUCAGACUCAAUCACCAUUGACGAGAGCUAACCUAACAGGCAUUACGAAUCAACAAGUUAAAGCCAAAACGCUCCCUGCAACCAAUACCUUGGUACAGGGUCACGAAUCUCUGGAAUUAGUGGUUCAGACAUUUCAUCGAACACCUUUUGGGCGCGGAAAUGUCUGGGCUCAAAUUCCAGUUGAUCAGAAAGCAAUAGGCAUUAAGAACAACUAAUCCAGAAGGGAUCUAUCAACCAAUACUCAAUCACCUAGCAUACUGAGAAUUCUACACUACUCUAACCCAUCCUCUGAAACCUAUUCACUACUCAGACAUCAUAACAGAAAGCAUAAACGUUGAACAGGUUGAAGACAUGAUAACAGCAGUAUAACAGCAGGAUGAUAACAGAAUGAACAACAGUAAACGAAAAUCAAGAACAAAAGCUGAAUACUGAAUACUGAAUAGAUAAAGAGAAAUCCGGAUUACAAAAAGUCUAGAACACAAGGUCUGCGGAAAUAAAACUAGAUAAAAACUUCUUGUGCGAAAAUGUGAAGUACAUGCUACUUAUAGCCAAAUAUCCCGAAACCCUAAUACUCAAAACGACGAAGUAUUGGGACGGGUUAGGAACUGUACUCGACCCAUGUGGUCGAGUGGUGGGUCGAGUGAACAGCUGGAGUCUUCUUUUCUUCCUUGUGCUCGAGUGUCUGGUUGAGUCUGGAAUGAAGAAGGCUCUGAAGCUUGUCAUCGAGUAUGCAGUCGAGUGGUGUGAUGGUGAUACUCGACAUCCAGGUAGAGUGUUGAGGUCUUGUAGAGGUCUGGCAAUGGGAUGAAGUUACUCGACCUGGGGGUCGAGUGAUGUGAUCGGGUGGUGGUCAGAAGAUGGAGAUGAAGUCACUCGACCUGGGGGUCGAGUGAUGUGAUCGUGUGGUAGUCUAGAGAUGGAGAUGAAGACACUCGACCUGGGGGUCGAGUGAUGUGGUAGAGUGGCGGUGUCUUCUACUCGACCUGGGGGUCGAGUGGUCUCUUGAGAUCUUGAAGCUCCUACUCGACCUCUGGGUCGAGUGGUUUGUCAUGAUCAGGUCUGCUUCUUCCAGUUAGCUCGUCGACAACUCCAAAUCACCUGAAAACAACACAAAUAUGCAACAAGCAUGCAAAACUAUCCUAAACAUGCAAAGUGAUUACAAAUGAUGUGAAAUGGUAUAAAACAGUGAUGAUAUGAUUCUAAAAUGAUGACAAAUGGAUGCUCCAAACAUGCAAAAUACACACUUAUCAGGUAACAUAU